GUUGUUCCGCUCCUGAGGCAGCGGCGGAGGCGGCGGUGGCGGCGGCGGAGGCUGCUGCUGCUGCUGCUGCUGCGGCGGCGGCGGAGGCUGCUGCUGGGGCGGCUGCUGCUGGGGCGGCUGCGGCGGCGGCUGCUGCGGGGGCUGCUGCUGCUGUUGCUGCACCGGGCGCGGCCGCGACACUCGCCUGGGUCUCCGGUUGGCGGCUCGGACGGAGUUCAUUUGCCGGGCUGAGGUGGCGGCGUUGGCGGAGGGACACACACACGCACACGCACAGCGAGCUUCGGGGCAGGAGAAAGGGGUCCCACAAACUGCAAGGAAAAGAAAAACCCUCAACAGGAAUUACCUUUAUACCUGAUGCCCCCAACAUAAUCUCUCUCCAAGGGAAACGUGUUUUUAUUGCCUUGCGGCUGAAAAUGUACUAAAAGUGCUACACCCAUUGU
rnacentral:lncRNA from 10 species